GUAGAGGAGAAAGCAGGGUGGGGCUGAGAUGGGCAGGUCUAUACCUGGUCCUCCUAAUGGCCAGUACAAGUGCCAGCCUUGAUGGGGGUUGGAGGACAGUUCUCAGGCCACUGGAGCAAUAGUUCAGGGAGAAGUGGAGCAACUCUUUCUGUUCCAACUAACCAGCAUGGGGAAAGUGGGGUGGCUCGGGUUCCAUAGCUUAGCAGGUGGUAGUGAGACCUGCCUUGCUCUCAUGCUCUCAACCUAGCGGGAUACCAUCCUAUGGCCUGCCACUGGCAUUGAGCUGAGGCAGCCAGCCAAAUCACAAGCAGUUUGUCUUUGGACUGCAAUAUAACCCCAGGCCAUAAAACUGUGGCUCCCAAGUGAAACCCCUCCUAGCCCAAUUCCAGGAUGGGGAGGUUCCCGAAUCCCAUAACCUUGGCUGGAGCCAAUGCCACAUUUGCUUAUCAGUUCUGGCCUCGUUCCUGGGACUGUGCAUAGUCUGCUAAAAGAAAUCUGAAGAGAGGAAAUCAUGCCAUUAAAGUUAUAGUUGUGCCCACAAUUUGCUGCGUAUGAAUGCUGCCACAUAACCUGAAGAUGUCCGAGCAGAAGCAGGCACAGCUGACUUGAGAUGGCAGGAGGCCAAACAUGCCUAGAGAUUCCCUUCCUUUCCUUCUAAGCAGCAGAUGAGAAUUUCACAAAAUGCCACGUUAUCACAAAUUUCUGAAGAGGCUGACAGGUUAUUAAUGAGGAUAAACCACAUUGAAUAAAGUAUUCCUGUUAAGGACUCUCUGUAUCCCUUCCUUUUGAACACUGCUCCAGCCUCUUGGGACUCCAGGACAUCUUCUACAUAAUCUCAUGUCUUUUAGACAUGUCAGCUCACUACGAUUCAGCGAAAGAAUUACUAAGUGAAACUGACCACGUUUCUUGUUCCCUUCCUCCCCCUCCUUCAUUUUAAAAUUGUGAAUAUAUGGUGAUGAAGACCACAAUGAAUACUAGUGAAGUUUGGUGCUACUACUUUGAUUUGUGCUACAUUGGAAGCAGCUUUAUCCACCAUUGCUUUGCUUUGUCCUUGUAAAUGUCAACAUGUGAAAAAGUCAAAUAAUAUCUUAGUAUUAGUGUAAAAAUAAUUUUCACCUUCUGUAAUCCUUGAAAGAGAUUCAGGGAGCCA